rnacentral:rRNA from 1 species
UACAGAGGUCCCAAGCGUUGUUCGGAUUCAUUGGGCGUAAAGGGCGCGUAGGCGGGAUGGCAAGUCGGUCGUGAAAUCCUUCGGCUCAACCGAAGAACGUCGGCCGAUACUGCUGUUCUUGUGGGAUGCAGAGGAGAUUGGAAUUCCCGGUGUAGCGGUGAAAUGUGUAGAGAUCGGGAGGAACACCGGUGGCGAAGGCGGGUCUCUGGGCAUUUCCUGACGCUGAGGCGCGAAAGCGUGGGGAGCAAACGGG